CCUGGUGUCUCUAGCAUCGUGGUCCCACUCCGACCCAUCCCGAACUCGGCAGUGAAACGCGAUAGCGGCAACGAUACUUGUGGGGUAGCCUGCUGGGACAAUAGCUCGAUGCCAGGA
rnacentral:rRNA from 1 species